GACAGAGCGAGUGAUAGAGCUGUGGGAGGACCAGCCAAACGAAUUCUCCCUACUAGACCCAAAAAGGAAGUGAACCACCGCACAGAUGCUCUUUGCGGGUUCAGCUGGUACCUUUUUAUUGUACAAGGGGGCUGUCCAUCUGAAUGGCACCUCUCUAUGCACUUCAGUUACUUGUGUAAAGGGGCUAUUCAGAUGAACAGACCCCCCCAUGACAAAGGGAUGUGCUUAGAGGGGCCCUUCAUGUAAUCAAGAGACAUGCUGGGACAUCCAUGGAGAAUGUCAUGAUGAAUUGGCUCUCGGCGCGUACCCUUCCUCAUUCACAUGGGCCGAAACCACAUCCUGGACACUAUCAAGACUUGAGUAUGGCUUCAUCAAGCUCUGCAGUGAAAUGAGAUGUGACAUCACAGUCCAAGACCUCAAAGAAGCACUGAUUCAGAGGCAUCAGUCGUACCAGCCCCCAACUCACCAGACACACUGACUCAUAUGACCCUUGCAGCCACAACAUCUCAGUGAAGAGGCCGUGUGUAAUUGCCAACGUGGAAACAAGGUUGCAUAUGAUGCUCUAACUGGGGAAAAAUUCAGUCGGCUGGGAGUGAUUCCUCUCCAGUCAUUCCUUAUACUACCUAUAUCCUUUUGCCCCAUGGGACAAAUAGCAGCUUUAAGGAGGCAAUUUAGAUGGGGAAAAUGGCCCUAGAGGAAAGUGCUGGGCCUUCUUCCUCCAGCAUCAUGGACCCAAUCUAAAUGGUGGGGCAGCAGGUGCAGACAGUGGUUGCAUUUAGCCUUUAGAUAACAACUAUCAUGUCUAAUUGGGUCCUCAGAAUUUCCAAGUACUCAGGUUGCUUAGUUGACAAAUGUAUCUGUUUCAUUGGUUUACCUGUUGCAGAAGUAGUAAUAUAAACAUGU